CCUAUGCCACUGCUGCUCCUGAAUGUAGUCCUGAAUGAAUAUGAGAAUUAUCAUUCUUUUUUACACACUGCCUUUGUCAAAAGCAUUAUUUUGUGCAUUAUUGCACAUGGUACUUUGAUCCAAGAGCAUUUAAGCCAAAAUGUAUUUUUACUUUCAAACUUUCAAAUGGA